AUGCUCACAUCAACAGCAAAUAUACUAAAAUUGAAACAAUAUGGAGAAGAUUAACAUGUCCUCUGCCCAAAGAUGACUCAAAUCCACGAAGUAUUCCAUAUUUAA